GUGCAGGAUUUGGGUUCAAUCCCUAGAACCACCAAAAAGCAAAUAAUGGCUUUUCUUGUUCAUUAGCCAAAGGAGUAAUUGUCCACUUCCAGCUACCAAGAAAAAAAUACCUUACAUUAAAGCAACUUUUUGUCAAAUCAAAGAUUUAGGCAUUCAUAAUUCUUCCAAAUUUUAAGAAGUGAGUUGCCAGACAGUUAAGAAUUUUGUAGAUUUAUUUUAUGAUUACACUUUUUUUCUAUCUUGAAAGUUGUUAAGGUGAAAACUAAUCAUAUAUUUGCAUACAUCUUUACACAUUAUAUACACUUGAGAAAUAAAUAGUAUUCUGAGUAGCAUUAAAAAAGCAUCGUUAUAUACAAAUAAGGUUUCAAGCCAAAUGGAUAAAUUCUUGACCCACUGAGGAUUCAGUUCUCAAUGCUUCCAUUACAAAAAAUGGAAGUCAACAGUAAACAGGGUGAUGGCCAGUAAAAUAAGCUUCACUUUGGCUAGAAAGCAAUGGUAGAAGCACACAGAUGGACCAACAGCAUACUCAACUAGUUAUAUCAUCAGACGUUUGGCAUUAAAAAAAAUAGUGCUACAACUUUGGCACAAUAAAGAUGCAAAUAAUGUCCCUUCAAAACCUAAGUACAAAAAAAAAUGCUCUAUCAUCCACACCUGAUUAUCAUACUUCCUCCUAUACAUUUCAU